rnacentral:lncRNA from 1 species
GCUCUCCUCUCCCUUCCUCCCUUCUCAGCUGAGCCCCAGCUUCCCAGGCCAGCAGGACCUACCAGGGACAGGCCUUGGUGAUGUGGAGACCAAGGUGAACUAACAAAUGUCCCUUCCUGGGAUCUGCCACUGGAGGGAGAAUCCUGAAUCAGGCAGCUCAUAAACAGCCACAGGACACAUGGGGACUCCCGUCCAUGUGCCUCCAUGGCUGCCUUUGUUCUCCCCGGAACUCCCUUUGCUGAGGAGAAGUAGAAGUCUGAAGAGCUGUCUGCCUGGCUUUUUUACUCAGGCCCUAUAUCCAGGUCCCCUCAGUCAGGAGAGGCCAGAACAAACUGAGUGACAUAACCCAGGGAUUCAAUACCUCAGGGGCUUGUUUCCCUCCUGCUCUAAAUCUCAGGUCCUGGCUCUCCAGGACAGUGCCCUUCCAAGCAACGGAUCGCCCAUUGCAAUACUCUGUGACUCCACCGUCUGUCUGUGCAUUGGAGAGAGGGAGUUAGAGAAUUCUCAGCAUUGGCCCUGACUUCUCAAAUGCUUCAGCCCUGAAGGGAUCUUCUCAGAGCCGCUGGCAGACUAUGGAGAACAAAGAAGGGUUUCCAGGGAGAUGUGGGAAUGCAGUUGGGCACUUGGGGUUGCAAAUGUCUCCCCCAUCACUACCCCACAUACAAAAUAAAUAUGUUAAUGCCUCA